CAAUUUACAAAGUUUACGAAAAAGCUCUAGAAAUUCAAAAACAAUCGUUAAGUCCAAAUCAUGUUGAUAAGCUGCGUCUUUAUACAAUAUUGGUUUGGUGU